GUCCAAGGAUAAGACAUUGCGUCCUAAUGGAUUGUCUGAAUCUUUGAUCCGAUAUGAUGGUACUACGCAUAUCAUGUUUAUUCUUCUUGACAAUUAUUGAAUGUGUGUUAUAGUUCAUUUCUGAUACUCAUGUGGAAUUCACAGAAAACUUAGAUUUAUAUUCUUUAAAGAAAUUAAAUUUUCGAGUCCAGUCCAGUUUAUUAGAUUAGGGAAAACACACUUGAGGAAUUUUUGUUUUCAAGCUUUGCCUGGGAUAUAAAUAUAUGAGUCUUACUUAUUUUACAUGUGGAUCCCAUUAUACAUAAUGUGUUGUCUUGAGUCCAUGAUAGACUGAAUUUUAAAGAAUAAUUUCCCUGUAACUAUUAUGGCACUGUUCACUGCAGGAACUUACAAAAAUAAGGAUUUUUGUUUUUUAAGUUUGAACAUGUCUAUAUAUCUUUAGUGCAAGUAGCCAAGAGUUUAAAUAGAAUUUAUGCAUAACAGCCCUUAGACAAGGAGAAAUAACAUUAAUCAAGAAAUGUGGCAACUAUAUUGACUUAAAAACUAGACUGGAUUAUUUGAACUAAUCAAACAAACAUGAGUGAUACUCUCUAAGAAUACUCUAUUUUGGGUAUCAUUUUUGAAAGCAAAGAAGAAGAAAACAGUUUCAGAACAUGAGGAUACUGUUAUAAAAUUUCUUGAUGUUUCUUGGUUGUUGCAAGUUGCAACUACGUGUACCACAUUAUCUUAAUUUGCUUCUGUAGCACGUCAGAAGGAGAUGGCUGCA
rnacentral:misc_RNA from 1 species